rfam:Prevotella oris C735 genomic scaffold supercont1.1, whole genome shotgun sequence.
GCAGUGUCCCGGCUCUGUUGCUGGCAUAAUUUCAUAUGCGAGAGGAAAGUCCGGGCAGCAUAGGAUGCUCCACUUCCGAAAAUAGAAGCUACUGGUGACAGUAGGUGUCGACAGAAGAAAACAACCGCCAUAAAUUGGGAUACUGACUGGCUUUCUGGUCAAGUCUCUUUGUGGUAAGGGUGAGAAGGUGGUGUAAGAGACCACCAGCUGGCGGGUGAUCGUCAGGCUGUGUCAUCUGGAGGCUGCAAGUUCAUGUAUACCGUAGACUGAGGGUUGUCCGCCUGAAGGAUUUCGAAUCCGCUACGGAGGGUAGAAUGCUUAAGCCGUGGGGUGACUCAUGGAUUAGAUAAAUAACAGGGCUUCAUCUUCGUGAUGAAUACAGAACCCGGCUUAUCAGGGCGCUGCUUUC